rnacentral:rRNA from 1 species
CCGGGGGGGUCUUACCAUGCAAGUCGAACGAGUGAUUGAGAGAAGCUUGCUUCUUUCAUGAUCGAGUGGCAAACGGGUGAGUAACGCGUAAACAACCUGCCCUCAGGAUGGGGACAACAGCUGGAAACGGCUGCUAAUACCGAAUACGAUUGUACUGCCGCAUGGCGGUAUGAUGAAAGGAUGGCCUCUAUUUAUAAGCUAUCGCCAGAGGAGGGGUUUGCGUCUGAUUAGCUAGUUGGAGGGGUAACGGCCCACCAAGGCGACGAUCAGUAGCCGGUCUGAGAGGACGAACGGCCACAUUGGAACUGAGACACGGUCCAGACUCCUACGGGAGGCAGCAGUGGGGAAUCUUCCGCAAUGGGCGAAAGCCUGACGGAGCAACGCCGCGUGAGUGAUGACGGCCUUCGGGUUGUAAAGCUCUGUUAUAUGGGACGAACGGGCAUGGGGCGAAUACCCCCAUGCAGUGACGGUACCGUAAGAGAAAGCCACGGCUAACUACGUGCCAGCAGCCGCGGUAAUACGUAGGUGGCAAGCGUUGUCCGGAAUUAUUGGGCGUAAAGGGCGUGUAGGCGGCCAGACAAGUCUGUCUUAAAAGUGCGGGGCUCAACCCCGUGAUGGGAUGGAAACUGUCGGGCUAGAGUGUCGGAGAGGAAAGCGGAAUUCCUAGUGUAGCGGUGAAAUGCGUAGAUAUUAGGAGGAACACCAGUGGCGAAAGCGGCUUUCUGGACGACAACUGACGCUGAGGCGCGAAAGCCAGGGGAGCAAACGGGAUUAGAUACCCCGGUAGUCCUGGCCGUAACGAUGGGUACUAGGUGUAGGA